rnacentral:rRNA from 1 species
GGGCACGGGGAGUACAACUCUGAUUUACGACGUUUCUUCUGAGUGGUACAAGCAAAUAAUCAAAACUUUUAACAACGGAUCUCUUGGUUCUGGCAUCGAUGAAGAACGCAGCGAAAUGCGAUAAGUAAUGUGAAUUGCAGAAUUCAGUGAAUCAUCGAAUCUUUGAACGCACAUUUGCGCCCGCCAGCAUUCUGGCGGGCAUGCCUGUUCGAGCGUCAUUUCAACCCUCAAGCUCUGCUUGGUGUUGGGGCCCUACAGCUGAUGUAGGCCCUCAAAGGUAGUGGCGGACCCUCCCGGAGCCUCCUUUGCGUAGUAACCUUACGUCUCGCACUGGGAUCCGGAGGGACUCUUGCCGUAAAACCCCCAAUUUUCCAAAGGUUGACCUCGGAUCAGGUAGGAAUACCCGCUGAACUUAAGCAUAUCUAAAGGAGGGGAGGGGAAA